rnacentral:lncRNA from 1 species
AGGUGCUGUAUUUUCAGGUUUUCUUUGCUCUAAGGGAAAAUCCUAAAUUAUGCCAACAAUGUAAAGUAGACUUAGCCAUGAUAUCUGCAAUGAAGAGAGAAAAUCUUGGGGACUUACCUACUGAGGAGAAAGAAUCAGGAGAACCCAUAAAAUCUCCAUCUCCUGUUGGUGCACAACAACAGCCUUCCUGUCCUCCAUAUCCUGACCUCCCUAUGUCUGCCCCAACAGGCAAACCAAAUAUACUACCUCUCCAGGAGAUGCCAGGAGGAGAAUUUGGGCCAAAGUACAUACCCCCUCUCCCUUCAAGACCUAAGGCAGAUAAAAACUGACUUGGGGAGAUUUUCAGAGGACCCAGAUAAAUAUAUUGAGGUAUUUCAAAACUUAUGCCAGGUAUUUGACCUCACCUGGAAAGAUAUUAUGCUAUUACUCAACCAGACCUUGACUUUCAAUGAGAAAGAAGCAACUCUGAGAGCAGCUGAGGAAUUUGGGGAUGAACUACACCUCGCUCCUUCCCCAGCAGAACAGACUAGGAGCAAACCUAAUUACCCACCUGGAGCACAGGCAGUUCCCAGAAAUGAUCCUGAGUGGGACCCAAAUGACUAGCAAGAUGCUUGGAAAAUUAGCCAUUUCCAAGUGUUGAUCCUUGAGGCCCUUAGGAGAAUCAAGCAAAAGCCCAUUAACUAUUCUAAGAUUUCAG